AAUGGUUUAGUGGCGCACGGGUGAGUAACACGUGAAUUACAUGCCCUUCAGUGGGGAAUAGCCCAGGGAAACUUGGAUUAAUACCCCAUAGUCUCGCAAGAGUAAAGGUGGCGUAAGCUGCCGCUGAAGGAUUGGUUCGCGCCCUAUCAGCUUGUUGGUGAGGUAAUGGCUCACCAAGGCUUAGACGGGUAGCUGGUCUGAGAGGACGACCAGCCACACUGGAACUGAGACACGGUCCAGACACCUACGGGUGGCAGCAGUCGAGGAUUUUUCUCAAUGGGGGCAACCCUGAAGGAGCGACGCCGCGUGGAGGAUGAAGGGCUUCGGCUCGUAAACUCCUGUCACCGACGAACAAGGCAUCCGAAUUAAUAAAUCGGAUGCUUGAUGGUAGUCGGAGAGGAAGGGGCGGCUAACUCUGUGCCAGCAGCCGCGGUGAUACAGAGGCCCCAAGCGUUGUUCGGAUUUACUGGGCGUAAAGGGUGUGUAGGGGGUUGGGUAAGUUUGACGUGAAAUCCCGUUGCUCAACAACGG
rnacentral:rRNA from 1 species